UGAAUACGAGACGCUAAGGCGUCGAAGUAGUGUAUGUCAUACUUCCAAGAAAAGCUUGCACUGUCAUAGAUAAAAAACGCCUGUACCAUAACCGACACAGGUGGGUAGGUAGAGUAUACUAAGGGGCGCGAGAUAACUCUCUCUAAGGAACUCGGCAAAAUAACUCCGUAACUUCGGGAGAAGGAGUGCCUUAUUCGUAAGGUUGCAAUAACAAGAUCCAAGCAACUGUUUAUCAAAAACACAGGUCUCCGCUAAGUCGUAAGACGAUGUAUGGGGGCUGACGCCUGCCCAGUGCCAGAAGGUUAAGGAAGUUGGUUAGCAAUUGCGAAGCUGAUAACUGAAGCCCUGGUGAACGGCGGCCGUAACAAUAACGGUCCUAAGGUAGCGAAAUUCCUUGUCGGGUAAGUUCCGACCCGCACGAAAGGCGUAAUGAUUUGGAUACUGUCUCGGGGAGGGGCUCGGUGAAAUAGACUUGUCUGUGAAGAUGCGGACUACCUGCACCAGGACAGAAAGACCCUAUGAAGCUUUACUGUAACUUGAAAUUGAAAUUGGACUUUAUUCGCGCAGUACAGGUGGGAGGCGUUGAUUAUAAUCUUGUGGGAUUAUUGGAGCCAUCAGUGAGAUACCACUCUUGUAAUGUUAGAUUUCUAACUUUGAAUCAUUAUCUGGUCAAAGAACAGUUUCAGGCGGGCAGUUUGACUGGGGCGGUCGCCUCCUAAACGGUAACGGAGGCGUACAAAGGUUUCCUCUGAACGGUUAGAAAUCGUAUCUAGAGUGUAAAGGCAUAAGGAAGCUUGACUGUGAGACCUACAAGUCGAGCAGGGACGAAAGUCGGUCUUAGUGAUCUGACGGUACUGAGUGGAAAGGCCGUCACUCAACGGAUAAAAGUUACUCUAGGAUAACAGGCUGAUCUCCCCCAAGAGUUCACAUCGACGGGGAGGUUUGGCACCUCGAUGUCGGCUCAUCGCAUCCUGGGGCGGUAGUACGUCCCAAGGGUUGGGCUGUUCGCCCAUGAAAGCGGUAUGCGAGCUGGGUUCAGAACGUCGUGAGACAGUUCGGUCCAUAUCCGGUGUAGGCGUUAGAAUAUUGAGAGGAGCCUUCUUUAGUACGAGAGGACCGAGAAGGACAUACCUCUGGUGUACCAGUUAUCGUGCCAACGGUAAACGCUGGGUAGCUAUGUAUGGAGUGGAUAACCGCUGAAAGCAUCUAAGUGGGAAGCCCACCUCAAGAUAAGUAUUCUCAUC
rnacentral:rRNA from 1 species